rnacentral:rRNA from 1 species
UACGUAGGGAGCAAGCGUUGUCCGGAAUCAUUGGGCGUAAAGCGCGCGUAGGCGGCCUCAUAAGUCCGUUGUGAAAGUCAAAGGCUCAACCUUUGAAAGCCGAUGGAUACUGUGAGGCUAGAGUCCGGAAGAGGCGAGUGGAAUUCCUGGUGUAGCGGUGGAAUGCGAAGAUAUCAGGAGGAACACCAAUAGCGAAGGCAGCUCGCUGGGACGGUACUGACGCUAAGGCGCGAAAGCGUGGGGAGCGAACAGG